rnacentral:lncRNA from 1 species
GGUGGGGUCAGUGGUGCGGGAGAAUCGCUGUGCGUCUCCCAGGUGGGGUCACUGGUGCGGGAGAAUCGCUGUGCGUCUCCCAGGUGGGGUCACUGGUGCGGGACAAUCGCUGUGCGUCUCCCAGGUGGGGUCAGUGGUGCGGGAGAAUCGCCGUGCGUCUCCCAGGUGGGGUCAGUGGUGCGGGAGAAUCGCUGUGCGUCUCCCAGGUGGGGUUACUGGUGCAGAACGAUCGCUGUGCGUCUCCCAGGUGGGGUCACUGGUGCAGAACUGAUCGCUGUGCGUCUCCCAGGUGGGGUUACUGGUGCAGAACGAUCGCUGUGCGUCUCCCAGGUGGGGUUACUGUUGCAGACUGAUCUCUGUGUGUCUCCCAGGUGGGGUCACUGGUGCAGACUGAUCGCUGUGUGUCUCCCAGGUGGGGUCACUGGUGCAGACUGAUCGCUGUGCGUCUCCCAGGUGGGGUUAGUGGUGCAGGAGAAUCGCUGUGCGUCUCCCAGGUGGGGUCACUGGUGCAGACUGAUCUCUGUGCGUCUCCCAGGUGGGGUCAGUGGUGCAGGAGAAUCGCUGUGGGUCUCCCAGGUGGGGUCAGUGGUGCAAACUGAUCGCUGAGCGUCUCCCAGGUGGGGUCACUGGGGCAGACUGAUCGCUGUGCGUCUCCCAGGUGGGGUUAGUGGGGCAGGAGGAUCGCUGUGCGUCUCCCAGGUGGGGUCACUGGUGCAGACUGAUCUCUGUGCGUCUCCCAGGUGGGGUCAGUGGUGCAGGAGGAUCGCUGUGCGUCUCCCAGGUGGGGUCACUGGUGCAGACUGAUCUC